AGCAGAGCUCUAGCUAUAGAUAAUAGAUUUGGAGGGUGGGAGAAAUUGUGGGUAACUACAAUUGAUUGGUGAAAUUUCAAAAGACUUAAAAAGUGCAUCUGAUAUUUAUUUUUACAUAAUGUUAUUUCUGAAAGCAAAUGGACAAUAAGAUGAGGACAUAAACCACCUUCCAGGUUAGGAUAGCAGCUCUUAAGGAAGAUGGUCAAUUAAAUCUUCAACCCAGUCUGAGGCCUUACCAUGAAAAAUAUGUGGUUAGCAUCACAAGUUUCCUUUGGGUAACUUGCUUGAGGAGUAAAGAGAGCUGUUUAAGUUGAAAGUGUCACCUUUGCUGCCUUGUGUGGUACAAUCUUCAGACAAUAUCCUGCAAACCGUGGCUGAACUGUUAUCUUUUUUAAGUAGAAUCCUUAGACAGUAAUCUUGUGGCAGAAUGAGUUGUAAACAAAUUGUUUUUAUUCCUGUAUUGAGUUUCAAAUUGGAUAUUUUUUAUUUAUAUUAUUUGCAUUCAAUUAUUGUUUUUUUAAUUGAUGAAUCAUUAAAACUUAAAUUUUUCGGGGUCCUAAAGGACUUUCUUAGAGGGGGCCAGCGCAAUUGAUUAAACAAAAUUUUUCCCGCAACAGGGAGAGGAGACAUCCCCAUAAAUAUGCCUUUGAAAUGGGGUGUUAAAGAAGAUUUGUAUUGUUUGUUUGUUUGUCCAUCAUCAGCUCUCAUCCACAGCUUGGUAGAUUUUCAUUGAAACUUUCAGCUGAUUUUCUGUACUAAAGGCAGUAUGUUUUUU